UCCGUAGGUGAACCUGCGGAAGGAUCAUUACCGAGUGCGGGCCCCUCGGGGCCCAACCUCCCACCCGUGUUGCCCGAACCUAUGUUGCCUCGGCGGGCCCCGCGCCCGCCGACGGCCCCCCUGAACGCUGUCUGAAGUUGCAGUCUGAGACCUAUAACGAAAUUAGUUAAAACUUUCAACAACGGAUCUCUUGGUUCCGGCAUCGAUGAAGAACGCAGCGAAAUGCGAUAACUAAUGUGAAUUGCAGAAUUCAGUGAAUCAUCGAGUCUUUGAACGCACAUUGCGCCCUCUGGUAUUCCGGAGGGCAUGCCUGUCCGAGCGUCAUUGCUGCCCUCAAGCCCGGCUUGUGUGUUGGGCCCCGUCCCCCCCGCCGGGGGGACGGGCCCGAAAGGCAGCGGCGGCACCGCGUCCGGUCCUCGAGCGUAUGGGGCUUCGUCACCCGCUCUAGUAGGCCCGGCCGGCGCCAGCCGACCCCCAACCUUUAAUUAUCUCAGGUUGACCUCGGAUCAGGUAGGGAUACCCGCUGAACUUAAGCAUAUCAAUAAGCGGAGGAAAAGAAACCAACCGGGA
rnacentral:rRNA from 1 species